rnacentral:rRNA from 1 species
GACGAACGCUGGCGGCGUGCUUAACACAUGCAAGUCGAACGGUGAACGAGGGAGCUUGCUCCCUCCGGAUCAGUGGCGAACGGGUGAGUAACACGUGAGCAAUCUGCCCCGAACUCUGGGAUAAGCGUUGGAAACGACGUCUAAUACCGGAUACGACGCGGGAGGGCAUCCUCUCCGCGUGGAAAGAACUUCGGUUCGGGAUGAGCUCGCGGCCUAUCAGCUUGUUGGUGAGGUACCGGCUCACCAAGGCGACGACGGGUAGCCGGCCUGAGAGGGUGACCGGCCACACUGGGACUGAGACACGGCCCAGACUCCUACGGGAGGCAGCAGUGGGGAAUAUUGCACAAUGGGCGCAAGCCUGAUGCAGCAACGCCGCGUGAGGGACGACGGCCUUCGGGUUGUAAACCUCUUUUAGCAGGGAAGAAGCGAAAGUGACGGUACCUGCAGAAAAAGCACCGGCUAACUACGUG